rnacentral:rRNA from 1 species
GACGAACGCUGGCGGCGUGCUUAACACAUGCAAGUCGAACGGAAAGGCCCUGCUUUUGUGGUGUGCUCGAGUGGCGAACGGGUGAGUAACACGUGAGUAACCUGCCCUUGACUUUGGGAUAACUUCAGGAAACUGGGGCUCAUACCGGAUAGGAGCUCCUGCUGCAUGGUGGGGGUUGGAAAGUUUCGGCGGUUGGGGAUGGACUCGCGGCUUAUCAGCUUGUUGGUGGGGUAGUGGCUUACCAAGGCUUUGACGGGUAGCCGGCCUGAGAGGGUGACCGGCCACAUUGGGACUGAGAUACGGCCCAGACUCCUACGGGAGGCAGCAGUGGGGAAUAUUGCACAAUGGGCGGAAGCCUGAUGCAGCAACGCCGCGUGCGGGAUGACGGCCUUCGGGUUGUAAACCGCUUUCGCCUGAGACGAAGCGUGAGUGACGGUAAUGGGUAAAGAAGCACCGGCUAACUACGUG